rnacentral:rRNA from 1 species
GUUAAAACUUUCAACAACGGAUCUCUUGGUUCUGGCAUCGAUGAAGAACGCAGCGAAAUGCGAUAAGUAAUGUGAAUUGCAGAAUUCAGUGAAUCAUCGAAUCUUUGAACGCACAUUGCGCCCUCUGGUAUUCCGGGGGGCAUGCCUGUUCGAGCGUCAUUACAAC